CAGUUCCGACAGCGCGAAAGGAGUAUAAAGCUGAGCGAGGCACCAUGAAGUGGAGAGUGCUGAGAAUUGGGAGGCUCGGGACUAUGGUCUGAAGAAGCUUUUAUUCGAGAAGAAGAAAACAGCAAGCUGGCAGGUGGCAGCUAAGUUGGCAAGGAAGAAUGAGAUUUUGAAGGACUAUGAAGCAAGUGUAGCGAAAACCGGAGGCAUGCUCAAUCAUUAGUUCGAUGGAAUUUAAUCAGUCUAUGUUGGCUGAAGCUCUGUUAUCCAAAGACGAGAGCGAUGCUGCAUCAACUAAGAAAGAAAAAUAGAAGAGUCUUGACUCGAUACCAGUUAAUUUGCAGCUCCCUAAAUCUUAGGGGAUGAAAUUAUCGAAAUUCCGGCCUUUUUACUUAUGCACUUUCACACAGUAGCCUUUGUAAAGGAUUGGUGGAGAUUUGGAUAAUAUCAUUAUCAUCCCCGUAAUAGGAAAGAUAUCUUUGUAAAGGAAGGUGGCUUCAAUGUUUCAAACUAUUCCUCUCCACCCUCAAAAUGUAACUUACCAAAAGACGCUUUCUGUGCUUGGACCCUUCUGCUCCUCCUCACUUAUAAGUGAAGUGGAUGGCUGGUUUCGGUUGGUUCUUAGUAGGUUCAAGCCAGUUUAAGCAAAUAUAAAAGAUUUUGCAACAUCUU